AUUGCAACUCUCUGAUCCCGCAAUAAACGCCUCUCUGCCUCUCAUUUUCGUUCUUCACUUGUAGGUUAAUCAGGCCAGUGGUGCGUGUCUGACUCCUGCCCAGCACUUGGGUUUCUGUUUUGACUCGAGCCACAAUAUCAGCAAAAGCUGCAAAGCGAAUAUGCUCCUGAUCUUUUCGAUUUGUUCUGUCUUCUAGGCUUAGCCUGAAAGCUGACUCUGUAAACGAGCCCUUUGCUCAGCGCUGCCAAGACUUGGUUAAAGUCAUUGAGGAGUUUCCCGCAAAGGUACAGCUCUGCUAGCGUCUCUGCGGCGUGUCUCAUACACUCCUUGUGAAAUGUUUUACUGAUCCCCACCUCUGAGCACUGGCCUACGGAGGCCUGACCUGCACCGUAACCAUCACAUUCACAGACACAGAGAAACCCGUGGACAUGCAGGCCAGGAUCGCGCCAGGCCUCCCCGCGGCCGCUCUGCUCCCGCUCGGGCUCACCGGCGUCCUGUGAGUGUGGCUCGGCUCUGCGACCAAGACCACCAUUCGGCUACCGGCGCCAAAAUGUCAUAAUAAAGGCGCGCGACGGGUCACGUACCCCGGCCUGGCUGAAACUACGUCGCAACCUUUGCAGGCUGCCACCACAAAAGGCGCAUGCGCAAAAGGAAGAAACUCGCGCUGGGGCCGAAGACGACGCUGAGCGCCCAGGAGAUGGACCCGGACAAGCCGUGCAGGCGGCGGACUGCGCCAUCCACCCCGCUGUGUUCAGUGAGUGGGCGCGGGCGGGGCUGCGCGCUCGGUAACCCCCGACACCCCUGCUCUCCGCCCCCGCCCUUGUCGGAGCCCCUGAGGCCCAGGGCAGAAUCGGGGUUUGAGGGUGGCAGCCACGCCCGCCCGCUGUUGCCGAGCCGCCCGGCCCGGGCAAGGAGGGCUCCCUGCGCACGGAGUCUGUCUCUGCAGGAGCCCGGUUGCCCUGCUGACGCUGCACGUGGCGCCCCUCGCCGUCCUCCAGAUGCUCCAUCCUUGUGCCAAGCAGAGGCUGCUGAGCGAGCCCCAGGCCCCUGCGGCCGUGUCUGCCCCCAUUGAGCCUGACUGAGACGAGAGGUCAGAGUUCGGUCUGGUGCUCCCUGGCCCUGUAUCCCGGGCGGCGAGGGGGCAGCGCCGGGCACGGGGCGGCCUUGGCCCUCAGUGGCCAGGCCUGUCCGUCGGUCUUGUCCCAGGACCCGCUGGGCCAUCCAAGGGCUCGCCCCUGGGGCUCCAGUCCCCAGCUUCGGCCUGGCUGCCUCCCUGGAGAGAGCACCUGCGGAUCGGGUGGACGCAGAGCUGGUGCCCCAGGGAGGCCAAGUAGGCUGGGCCUCAUCUGGGACAUUUGCUACCCCAGCCUCUCCUCCCCUCUGCGCUCCUGCCUUCGUUCCACAAACCCGGGAUGGAGACUGCUUUGGUGCCUGUGCUCAUGGUUUGUCCGGCCUCAGGGAAGCGCUCAGGGAGCUGGGCAGGCAGAGGCCUUCCUGCCACCCCCUCACCUGUACCCCACUCGCCUCAAGUCCUGCUCUGGAGUCUGGCCAGAUGAGCUUCCCUCCUCGGGUUGUGGGAUGGGAGUGAGCGUGGCAGCCCCUGGCUGUCCUGGACACUCAGGGUGCAGAGGCCGGAGUGGCAGAGCACUGGGCUCAGGUGUGAGGGGCCUCCACACUCUCGAGGGUCAUGACUGAGGCGUGAACAGGUGCUGGUGACAAGGUGUCACUGUGCAGCUCCAAAUGCUUCCUCCCCAUGUGUCCCUUCUGCUCCCAGGUGCUAUCAGAAACCCUCUGACGUGCAGCCGAACCUCCUGGGCUGGCUCCUUGCCCAGAAGCACGGGGCUCUCUCAGACACCCGGAGAAGGGCUGACGCUUGGGUGGAGAGCAGCCUGGGCCCCUGUGGGCAGGAGUGCCAGGGUCCUGGGUCCCCAGAUCCCCUGUCCUGUGCCGCCCGGGCACUCGAGUGCUGGCCUCCUCACUGACCCACGCUCUGUCAGCUCUCUCUGUGUCUCUGACCUCCAGGGCCUCUUUCUCUCUGCCAAGAACUGUAGCCCCCACAAGGCCCUCCUUUUCCUGGGCCUGCGGCCUCUGCGGCCUCUUCAGUCUCUGGUCCAUGGCCCCGCUGCCCCGCACUCGCCUCUCUCUCCCGGACCCCCCGGGUCCCUCCGGUUCUCUUGCUGCCCAUUCUCUCCUUUUACAGGUUGCGUUUAUUGGUGUAUCUCUGGGGGUUGGGGCUCUCUCUUAUUUCCAUGGAAACUGCCGUGGUCCCCAGAAAGCCAGAGCAGCUUCGAGCGGCAAGGGCAGGACCCUGUGGGCCAUCCCUGCCAUCAGCUUAGAGACCGAGGGCAGUAUUUCAGGGCUCGCUUUAUUAGAGACAACUCGCAGUCCUUCUGGAACGGGAUCAACACCCCCCCCCACCCCCCCAGGGGCUAACUCAGCUGGGUGAGACUCAGCUCUGUAGAGGUGUCCUCACCCCAGAGAGGGACAGCAGACCAAGGGGCAGGGAAGGAGCAGCGUGGUGCACUGUGCAGAGCAAAGCCCUGGGUGUGAGAAACGCCUCAGCCUCUGAGAUGCUGUCGGCCACCUGGGUGGGCAGCCUGAGGGCAAACUGUGACUAUUCUUUUCUGCCUGGUUUCUAAACUGAAAGUAUGUUCCAGGCUUUUCCAGGGGUGUGUGAGGGAGGGCUGAGAUCCCUCCUGUGCUCUGGCUUCACCCUCCUUCCCGCCCCUCCCCAUGUCGCCCACCUGGAAGUUCCAGGUGCCACCUGGAGCUCAGGCCAGGGAGGAGUGGGGCAGGGCCGAGGGGCAGGUCAGGGGAGGGGUGGGUGGACUAGCAGCUGAGCUGAGGAAUCGAAGGGUGAGUUUCCAGAAGGAAGGAGAAACCGGAAACAGAGCCCUCCUCCCUCGAGGGGUGUUGGGGCUCAUGCACUGAGGACUCUGGGUGCCAGGCCGGCUCUAGCACUGGGGGCACAGUGGGACUGUGAGGUGGACAUGCUCUUGGUCCAGGGAGGGAGAUGGCUAGACAAACCGAUAGUAACAGACGGGAGGAGGCCAGUGCAGCUGGCCUUGCUAGAGCAGUAAGGGUUGAGCAGGCUGAGGGGCCCUGGGAGCCAGCUGCAGUGUCCUUGACCUGCAGCCCUGUAGGGGGGAGGUGGGGAGGGGCUGAGAGAGGAAGGGCAGGCGGGGAGGCAGGGCAGAGCGUGGAUCCAGUGGAUCCAGGCCAUUGGUGGGAGCGGGGCCUGAGCUGGGGGUGCAGGAAGAGGGAGAGAGCGGAGAGUCAGGAGGGGUGCUGUGGGAGUGGCGCUGGGAGCACUGGCAUAGAGGGGUUGGGAGGUCAGAGGGGGCUCUGAGGGAGGUGGGGAGGAAGCCCUGAGCACGGGGACAGGAGUGGAGCACUGGGCUACACAGGGUCGUUUUCGGCUCAGGUGCUCAGGCCUUGGGUCCUACUGGGCUGGGCGGCCAGCGGCCAGGAUACCAGGACACGGGGGCCCUGGGGAGAUGCCUGAUGGGGUAGAGGGCAGCCUGGGGAGGGCUUUGAUGGGGAGGAGGAGGAGGGGAGUGGCAGAUGAGGGGCCAUGCCAGGAAUGUGCUGUGGCCAGGAGGCCGAGGCCAGCCGACAAGACAUAUCUCUGAGGCCCCUGUCGCAGUGUCUGUGCACAGAGACCUUCCUACCACGUCAUUAAUGGCAGGAUCUGGGGCGGAGAAAAUAAAGAGUUGUCAGAGUGUUUUUCCAACUGUGGGGACCGUGGUGGCCCAGGAGGACGAGGGGGUUUGGGGCUGUGGGCACUCACUGGCCUUAGGUUUCCCACAGAAUCGGGGUGUGCAGCUGCUCCAGGCUGUGGGCUGAGGGGCUUGACUCUGUCUGGGUUCCUGACCCCUGGCCAUCGAGGUGGCCCGUGGGGACUGUCACCGACCAGCUCACUCAUUUCUGCAUUUUCCCGCAGAAAAGGGGGAAGCAGAACACCCCGGAAGCACCGAGGGGGAAUGCUUGUCAUGGGGGCACGUGGGUCACUGAGGAAAGAAAUUCAGUGGAGUGCUCCCUGUUGAAGUUCAGGAAACUACAUUUUAAAAGAUGUCCCUCCAGGACGUGGGGGAUGAACGUGGUGCACCAAAGCUGUGGUCCUCGCAUGCAGCUUUACUGUGCUUUGCGGGAGCCACAGGCCCCAGCCUGGUGCGGUGACAGGCGCUAGGUGUGUGGGCACCCGCCACGUGCCCAGGUGCCGAGGGACGGGCGCAAAGAGGGAACGUCUCACCUCACACGUGAUUCUUAUACUGAUUCCAUGUUGAAGUGAUAAUAUGUUGGAUAUUUUGGGUUAAUUAAAACAGAUAUUUAAAUUAA